rnacentral:rRNA from 1 species
ACGCAAUAGAUACCCAGGUAGUCCACGCCCUAAACGAUGUCUACUAGUUGUCGGGUCUUAAUUGACUUGGUAAACGCAGCUAAACGCGUGAAGUAGACCGCCUGGGGAGUACGGUCGCAAGAUUAAAACUCAAAGGAAUUGACGGGGACCCGCACAAGCGGUGGAUGAUGUGGAUUAAAUUCGAUGCAACGCGAAAAACCUUACCUACCCUUGACAUGGAUGGAAUCCCUGAGAGAUUGGGGAGUGCUCGAAAGAGAACCCAUUACACAGGUGCUGCAUGGCUGUCGUCAGCUCGUGUCGUGAGAUGUUGGGUUAAGUCCCGCAACGAGCGCAACCCUUGUCAUUAGUUGCUACGAAAGGGCACUCUAAUGAGACUGCCGGUGACAAACCGGAGGAAGGUGGGGAUGACGUCAAGUCCUCAUGGCCCUUAUGGGUUAGGGCUUCACACGUCAUACAAUGGUACAUACAGAGGGUCCG